CCUACGGGAGGCAGCAGUGGGGAAUAUUGCGCAAUGGGCGAAAGCCUGACGCAGCGACGCCGCGUGAGGGAUGAAGGUCUUCGGAUCGUAAACCUCUGUCAGCAGGGACGAACGGUCACUGUGCUAAUCAGCAGUGAAUUGACGGUACCUGCAAAGGAAGCACCGGCUAACUCCGUGCCAGCAGCCGCGGUAAUACGGAGGGUGCGAGCGUUAAUCGGAAUUACUGGGCGUAAAGCGCUCGUAGGCGGUAUGACAAGUCAAGGGUGAAAUCCCCGCGCUCAACGUGGGAACUGCAUUUGAGACUGGCAGACUGGAGUGUGUGAGAGGAUAGUGGAAUUCCAGGUGUAGGAGUGAAAUCCGUAGAUAUCUGGAGGAACAUCAGUGGUGAAGGCGACUAUCUGGCACAUAACUGACGCUGAGGAGCGAAAGCGUGGGUAGCAAACAGGAUUAGAUACCCGAGUAGUC
rnacentral:rRNA from 1 species